rfam:Daphnia pulex DAPPTscaffold_8_Cont574, whole genome shotgun sequence.
UUUUGAAAUGAUUGCGUUAUGUAGAUGCUGGGAUGUUUGUGGGUGCGCUGUGCGCCUUGGCCGGCGUGCUGACCAUCUCUCUGCCCGUGCCCGUCAUCGUCUCCAAU